AUGCAAGGUAUCAUGCAGCGGCGAUCAGCACUCUAUGCAGUAGAGGGUGGAAAUUAUCAAAGGUUGGGAUCAAAUACAACUGAGAAGAAAUGCUUCGAGUGCGGUCAGCCAGGACAUUUGAAGUUUUCAUGCCCUGAGUUAAUGGGAGGCGGCAGAGGAAGAGGGCAGGACUGGCGUGGAAGAGGCCGUGGCCGUGGGCUUGAAGGACGAGGCUACUGUGGGCGAGGUACACGCCCUGCUGCUAAAGCAAACACGUCGGUGAUCACUGAAAAUACCACCCAAACUAUGAGUGUUGAGAUGACUGCUGAGGAUUGGGAGAAGUGGUGCCAAUUCAAGGGGCUUUCUCUAGGUGACAAGACAACUGUUGAAGCGCCUACCUCUGCUGCCUUAGCAAAUUUCGGUGGUAACAACUCUCACACUGUGAUAGAUAAGUCCAUUGAUGCACCAUGGUUAUUAGAUUCAGGUGCAUCUAGACAUAUGGCUGGUUCCUACAGAAAUUUUAUUGACUAUACUCCUGAUUUAAAUAAGAAAACCGUUAAAUUAGCUGAUGGCUCCUCCCAAACCAUUAUGGGAUCAGGAACAAUUAUGUGUAGCACUGAUAUGUCUUUGUCAUCUGUUUUGCAUGUUCCCUCGUUCCCAAUAAAUCUGCUAUCCAUCAGUUGCAUCACAAAUGAACUUAAUUGUGUUGCUAUCUUCUUUCCAUCAUGGUGCUUGUUUCAGGAACUUGGGACUGGAAGAAGACUUGGGACGGGGAUCAUGCAUGAUGGACUGUAUUAUCUGGAUAAUAAUAUGCCACCUGUGGUUGCAGCUGUUGUGUCCCUUUCACCACUUGACGAAUUCCUUCUUCACCACCGCAGGCUAGGACAUAUGUCUUUUGUCACCCUUGGUAGGCUUUAUCCUGCUCUUUAUAGUAAAGUUAACCAGGGGAGUCUAGUAUGUGACGCUUGUCAAUAUGGUAAACAAACACGUAGCUCCUAUACAUCGUCUGAUAAUAGAAGUGACACGCCACUUCAAGUUAUACAUUCUGAUGUGUGGGGUCCUAGUGGAGUUUCAUCUUUAAAUGGAUAUCGCUCGUUUGUUACCUUUAUUGACUUUUGUACUAGAGUGACUUGGGUUUAUGUGUUGAAGAACAAGAACGAUGCGUUUGAAUGCUUUGUUGAUUUUCAUAAUAUGAUCAGAACGCAAUAUAAUGCUUGUGUGAAAACAUUUCGCACUGAUAAUGGCACAGAGUAUGUGAACAAGGAAUUUAAUGAGUACUUAUCCAGUUUUGGGAUUAUUCAUCACACAACUUGUCCAGGUACUUCAGAGCAGAAUGGUUUGGCAUAA
rnacentral:rRNA from 1 species